GCCAGAUGACCUCUGCCCUUGACUUUUCAUGGGGGCAGAUGUUUCUUUAUCACAGCUGCUGAUAAGUGUGGUAUUAGAGGGUGUGUAGCUCAUUUCACAACAUGCCAACCCCACCAGGGCACCUUGAGGCUGAAGAUUCUUAGGACUUAUAUAUGAGCCACCUAUCCAUGGAAGACACAGACGGAAAUUGUAUCAGUAAUUAAUUCACAGCCAAUGUGCCACUUUUUCUGCAAACUAACCCCCAACCUUCAAGAAGCCAUUGAUAACAACAGAAAGUAGGAAACUCAGUCUUUCUGGUGAAUUCACUCUGAUGUCACUCUCUUGCUCUACUGCUUCUGCUAUAUCCAUCAGGAGAGAGGAGAUUCCAAGACCUGGAGCACAGCCAGAGGACUGCAAGACUGCAAGCAUGGUUUCUUCAGAUGCCCACUUAAGGAAAACUUCUCAACUCUUCUCCUUCUAAGAAUCCCCUGCCUCCAUCCCUAGAGAAUCAUGGCUUCAAAAUGAAACAUAAAACAAAGUUUUGAGCUGACUUUGGUCGAAAUCUCAAAUACUAUAAGGCAAAAACUGUACAGUACUGUCUGCAGGUGGACCACAUUGUAGGGGAAAUAACGUGAUUCAGGCCAGCCACCUGCCCCUGCCUUCCAGGAUUCUACCACUCAGCUCUGAUCAAACUAGCAUCCCUCCUCCUGUCACCAGCAAAGCCCAUGAAACAUUUCCAA